rnacentral:lncRNA from 1 species
GGACCCUGCACCUCAGCUAAAUGGAACGAAGGAUGAAGAAUUUAUACAGCUGCCCCCAGUACCACCACCCCUCAUAACACCAUCAGCAACUAUUUCCAAAGAAGCAAUCCUCCAGGCCAAGUCUCAGGAGACCUCACAGAACAGCAAGGCUAAUUCAAAAGGAGCCUAAAGAUACCUUGAAGAUGGGCCUCACUCUCUCCAAUCACUGCCAGUCAGCAGUGGCGUCCAUGAAGGAGUUCUAGCGGAGACUGUCUGGCUUGAGAUAAAGGAUCAGCCAUUAAGUCGUUGGAGGCCUCGUGACCAUUCGUGAUCCGAGCAGUGACACCAAGUUCAGGCCACUUAGAGAAGCUUAAUUACAGCCUAUCUCUACUGUAUAAUUUCGUCAUCUUACUAAACGUUGC